UACGAACCGUGCGAACGUUGUUCGGAUUCACUGGGCUUAAAGGGCGCGUAGGCGGCUUGCCAAGUCAGGGGUGAAAUCUUUCGGCUCAACCGGAAAAGUGCUUCUGAUACUGGCGGGCUGGAGGAGGGUAGGGGCGGAUGGAACUUCCGGUGGAGCGGUGAAAUGCGUAGAUAUCGGAAGGAACGCCGGUGGCGAAAGCGAUCCGCUGGACCGUUUCUGACGCUGAGGCGCGAAAGCCAGGGGAGCAAACAGG
rnacentral:rRNA from 1 species